AACGAACGCUGGCGGCAGGCUUAACACAUGCAAGUCGAACGCCCCGCAAGGGGAGUGGCAGACGGGUGAGUAACGCGUGGGAACGUACCCAUCACUACGGAAUAACUCAGGGAAACUUGUGCUAAUACCGUAUACGACCGAGAGGUGAAAGAUUUAUCGGUGAUGGAUCGGCCCGCGUUGGAUUAGCUAGUUGGUGGGGUAAAGGCCUACCAAGGCGACGAUCCAUAGCUGGUCUGAGAGGAUGAUCAGCCACAUUGGGACUGAGACACGGCCCAAACUCCUACGGGAGGCAGCAGUGGGGAAUAUUGGACAAUGGGCGCAAGCCUGAUCCAGCCAUGCCGCGUGAGUGAUGAAGGCCUUAGGGUUGUAAAGCUCUUUCACCGGAGAAGAUAAUGACGGUAUCCGGAGAAGAAGCCCCGGCUAACUUCGUGCCAGCCGCCGCCGUAACAC
rnacentral:rRNA from 1 species